GUGACAUCAGCACUAUUCUGCCUCUGCUAUACAACAGGCCCUGGAACAUACUCGAACCAUGUAGGUGAUUUGUGUCCCUGUCUCAUCUUUCUUACCAGAAUACCAUCGGAGCUCCUCUGGAACAUGUCCUUGUCUUCUCAGAGUGUGAAGUGUGUGUGUGACAGUGCUUUUCUGAGGACUCAGGUGACCUGGAGGCUGGAGAACAGCAUGGAGCAAGGAAAACAAAGACGAUGUGCUGGAGUGUAUGUUGCUUUCAUAAUUAUGUGAAAGAAAAUGUAGAGAAAUUUGAAAGACUUUUGCAUUUCUGAUGAUUGGCUGACUCCACCCAGACCUGCAACUCAUGACUCAACUGGUCCUGUGGCCUGAGUCAUCUCAGUGCACAAGAAUCAUUUCCACACCAUCAUGAUGGCAUCCCCAACCAAUCAGCAGCACCCAUUCCCUAGUCCCCCGCCCACUAAACUAUCCUUGAAAACCCUAACCUCCAUGGGUAGGAGGCUGAUUUGAGUAAAAACUCCACCUCCUGUGUGGCUGGCCAGCCUUGCAUCAGUUAAAUUCUUUCUUCACUGCAACGCUAUGGUCUCAAUGAAUUGGCUUUGUCUGUGCAGCAGGCAGGAAAAACCACUGGGCAAUUACAAAUUCAGGGACUCAUCCAAGAUCUGCCAUUUUAGGUGCCUGCCCACAGGUUGUCAGCCCUGCACCAGUAUGACGGACCUGGAGGUGAGUUCUGGUGGCCACUUAUUUUUCUUUGGAACUGAUGGCCAUCCCUGGUGCUGCCCCUGACCAUGGGGCACUGUCAACCCAUAAUGCUUAGGACUAAUUGCAUGGAGAAAUGAUUCCUUGAAAGACGUCUUUAAACUGAUCUGAUAAAAGUGGCUAGAGAAAAGCAUACUCCUACACUGACUGAUCAUCCUUUAAACCUGUGAGUACUAAUUCAAACAGAUUCUUAAAGCUGCCUAGCACUCAUAAGACAUUUCCCUACAAUUAGAUACCCAAACUUUUAGACGUAGAACAAAGGUAUUCAACCAUUUUUUACUUACAGAUUUCCU
rnacentral:lncRNA from 10 species